rnacentral:rRNA from 1 species
AUUGAACGCUAGCGGGAUGCCUUACACAUGCAAGUCGAACGGAGUGGCGAACGGGUGAGUAAUGUAUCGGAACGUGCCCAGUAGCGGGAGAUAACUACGCGAAAGCGUAGCUAAUACCGCAUACUAUUGGAGCGGCCGAUAUCGGAUGAGCUAGGUGGGGGGUGAACGGCUCACCAAGGCGACGAUCCGUCGCUGGUUUGAGAGGACGACCAGCCACACUGGGACUUAGAAACGGCCCAGACUCCUACGUGAGGCAGCAGUGGGGAAUUUUGGGCAAUGGGGGAAACCCUGAUCCAGCCAUCCCGCGUGUGCGAUGAAGGCCUGCGGGUGGGAAAGCACUUUUGGCAGGAAAGCGGUACCUGCAGAAUAAGCACCGGCUAACUACGUGCCAGCAGCCGCGGUAAUAC